rnacentral:rRNA from 1 species
CCUGCGGAAGGAUCAUUACCGAGUUUUCGAGCUCCGGCUCGACUCUCCCACCCUUUGUGAACGUACCUCUGUUGCUUUGGCGGCUCCGGCCGCCAAAGGACCUUCAAACUCCAGUCAGUAAACGCAGACGUCUGAUAAACAAGUUAAUAAACUAAAACUUUCAACAACGGAUCUCUUGGUUCUGGCAUCGAUGAAGAACGCAGCGAAAUGCGAUAAGUAAUGUGAAUUGCAGAAUUCAGUGAAUCAUCGAAUCUUUGAACGCACAUUGCGCCCCUUGGUAUUCCGGGGGGCAUGCCUGUUCGAGCGUCAUUACAACCCUCAAGCUCUGCUUGGAAUUGGGCACCGUCCUCACUGCGGACGCGCCUCAAAGACCUCGGCGGUGGCUGUUCAGCCCUCAAGCGUAGUAGAAUACACCUCGCUUUGGAGCGGUUGGCGUCGCCCGCCGGACGAACCUUCUGAACUUUUCUCAAGGUUGACCUCGGAUCAGGUAGGGAUACCCGCUGAACUUAAGCAUAUCAAUAAGCGGAGGAA